rnacentral:rRNA from 1 species
UACGUAGGGGGCAAGCGUUGUCCGGAAUCAUUGGGCGUAAAGAGCGUGUAGGCGGCCCGGUAAGUCCGUUGUGAAAGUCGGGGGCUCAACCCUCGAAUGCCGGUGGAUACUGUCGGGCUAGAGUGCGGAAGAGGCGAGUGGAAUUCCUGGUGUAGCGGUGAAAUGCGCAGAUAUCAGGAGGAACACCGAUUGCGAAGGCAGCUCGCUGGGACGUUACUGACGCUGAGACGCGAAAGCGUGGGGAGCAAACAGG